UGGGAUGAGAGCUCGGGCGGCAUGGGGUGGUGCGGGGGAGAGACUGGUAGUAGGGGGUGUAAUCGAACUACUAGCGCUAGACGCGUACGCGUUGUGAGAGCAAUCGCCCGGAGAUGGAGUCUGAGACACGAGUCCAGACCGUACGGGGUGCAGCAGGCGCGCAAACUUGACAAUACGAGAAAGCGUGAUCAGAGAACUCCAAGUGUCCACGUUUUUACGAGGUUCUAGAUUGACUCUAGACAGGUCGAGUAAUAGGGGCGGGAAAUAUCGGUGCCAGCCGCCGCGGUAAUACCGAAGCCCCAAGUGGUCGUCGUUCUUAUUGGGCCUAAAACGUCCGUAGCCGGUUUGGUACAUUCGUGGGUAAAUCAGACAGCUUAACUGUCUGAAUUCUGCGAGCACGGCCAAACUUGAGACCGGGAGAGGUGUAGGGUACCUGCGGGGUAGGGGUAAAAUCCUGUCAUCCCGUAGGGACCACCUGUUGCGAAGGCGCCACACUAGAACGGAUCUGACGGUCAGGGACGAAGCCUGGGGGCACGAACCGGAUUAGAUACCCGGGUAGUCCCAGGUGUAAACGCUGUGGAUUUGGUGUGUGGGGUCCGCAAAGGGCCCCAUGUGCCGGAGUGAAGAUGUUAAAUCCACUGCCUGGGGAGUACGGUCGCAAGGCUGAAACUUAAAGGAAUUGGCGGGGGAGCACUGCAACGCGAGGAGCGUGCGGUUUAAUUGGAUUCAACGCCGGAAAACUCACCAUGGCCGACUGUUAGAUGAAGACCAGCGUAAUGAGCUUGUCGGAUUUUCAGAGAGGUGGUGCAUGGCCGUCGUCAGUUCGUACUGUAAAGCGUUCUGUUAAGUCAGAUAACGAACGAGACCCGCAUCCUUAUUUGCCUCCCUUUUCUCCGGAAAAGGCGCACCAUAGGGAGACCGCUGGUGUUAAACCAGAGGAAGGCGCGGGCAACGACAGGUCAUUAUGCCCCGAAUGUCUUGGGCUACACGCGCGCUACAAAGGACGGGACAAUGGGAAGCCACGCCGAGAGGCGGCGCUACCCCGAAACCCGUUCGU
rnacentral:rRNA from 1 species